UACGGAGGAUCCAAGCGUUAUCCGGAAUUACUGGGCGUAAAGAGUUGCGUAGGUGGCAUUGUAAGUUGGUAGUGAAAGCGUUCGGCUCAACCGGAUAUCCAUUACCAAAACUGCAAAGCUAGAGGACAAGAGAGGUUAUUGGAAUUCCCUGUGUAGGAGUGAAAUCCGUAGAUAUAGGGAGGAACACCGAUGGCGUAGGCAGAUAACUGGCUUGUUCCUGACACUAAGGCACGAAAGCGUGGGUAGCAAACGGG
rnacentral:rRNA from 1 species